GCCCUUAUAGCUCAGUGGCAGAGCGCUUCACUUGUAGGUCGUAACUACGUCAUGAAGAGGUCCGCGGUUCAAUCCCGCGUGGGGGCA